GGCUGAUCCUGGACCAUCCCACAGAUGCUCAAUCAGAUCUGGAUGUGGGGAGUGUGGAACCCAGAUGUUCAGAGGGAGAUGAUGCCACAUCUGGUCCAGCUGAUGGAAGGUCUUGAAGUUCUCUGACUGGCCUCGACUGAAGAUGGUCGUCUCACUGGAUUUAAGAUGCACAAUGAGGGUCGUCAUUUGAUCUGGAACAGGAAUUCAAUAACGGCAGCAUGAGCUUCAUUUCAGUCUGUAGCUGCUGAAUUCAUGGAUGAAUCAUCUGGCACUAGAGAAGAAGACCAUCAAACAUCCACGUCAGCUGAUGGAGGUCCAAGAGUCUCACCAAACAAACAACCUACAGAGUGAAGACCUCAAAUCUGAUUGGACGGCCUCCUAUUCAGCCACAUUUUAGGCUGUUAGAUUGUUCCAGAUAAGACAAGUACAAGAUUCUUCAGAGCCGUUCUACCACGAGCCUGACAGGAAGAACUCCAACAGCUACUGAAUGUUCCUGUGGUUCCCUCAAGGCUACAGGAGGAGUCCUACGAGGACGAGCCGGUCCACCUGAUGGCGGCCAGUCGCUGCGGUUCAAAGCCAACACCGACUACAUGGACUUCUACUGGACCACAUGGAGGCCUUCAAACCAGACCAACGAGUUCAGCGACUCCCCGACUCGUGAGUCUGAGGACGCCGCCGAGCCUCGGUCCAGCCGGCCUCCUGUCUGUGGGUGUUUGAGUGCUGAGAGGUUUAUGGAUGCAUGUGAAUGUGUCUGUGUUGAAACAGCAGCUUUGGACUCAGUAACGCCGGGAAAAACCAAGAGCUCCUUUAUUUGGGACUUCCACUAAAAAAAUGAUGAAAAUAAGUUUGCCAGGGUUCUGACUGAUAACAGAUUAUUAAAUAAUGAAAAUAAUCGUUUAAAUAUUCCUUUAAACAAUCCUUUUAGGUCUACAUUUCCCUUACACGGACUUCUUGGUAUAUAUACAAGUAUUUUGGGUGGAAUAUACCAUUAAGCCCAAUGUUCAAGGGUUCUUGUGGGAAUAUACCAUUAAACCAACCUUUUAGGUAAAUGUUCCAGGAUGUUGGGUAGAAUAUACCAUCAGAUCAACCUUUUAGGUCUACAUUUAAGGUGGAAUACUCCUUUACA
ensembl:lncRNA